rnacentral:rRNA from 1 species
GUGCCAGCAGCCGCGGUAAUACGUAGGUCCCGAACGUUGCGCGAAUUUACUGGGCCUAAAGCGUCCGUAGCCGGGCUGGUAAGUCCUCCGGGAAAUCUGGUCGCUUAACGAUCAGACUGCCGGAGGAUACUGCCAGCCUUAGGACCGGGAGAGGCCGGGGGUAUUCCCGGGGUAGGGGUGAAAUCCUGUAAUCCCGGGAGGACCACCUGUGGCGAAGGCGCCCGGCUGGAACGGGUCCGACGGUGAGGGACGAAGGCCAGGGGAGCGAACCGGGUUAGAUACCCGGGUAGUCCUGGCUGUAAACGAUGCGGACUAGGUGUCACCGAAGCUACGAGCUUCGGUGGUGCCGGAGGGAAGCCGUUAAGUCCGCCGCCUGGGGAGUACGGCCGCAAGGCUGAAACUUAAAGGAAUUGGCGGGG